AUACGAAAGGUGCAAGCGUUGUUCGGAUUUACUGGGCGUAAAGAGAGUGUAGGUGGUUUAUUAAGUCGGAUGUGAAAUCCCGGGGCUCAACCUCGGAACUGCAUUCGAUACUGAUAGGCUAGAGUUUGGGAGGGGUAAGCGGAAUUCCGUGUGUAGCAGUGAAAUGCGUAGAUAUACGGAGGAACACCUGAGGCGAAGGCGGCUUACUGGACCAAUACUGACACUGAGACUCGAAAGCGUGGGUAGCAAACAGGAUUAGAAACCCGUGUAGUCC
rnacentral:rRNA from 1 species